rnacentral:lncRNA from 1 species
UUCUUUCUUAGCAAGGAUGCAAUCAGAAAAUAACCAAGUCGUCUCCAAUCAAGGACUAAGUAGCACUAUAUAACAGUCUUUCUUUCACUUACAAGUUCUCUGACGCUCUGCUUUGUUGAAUAAUUUUAAGGCUACUAACAUCAAUCUAAGGGGAUGAUUGUGAAGGCAAAAGCUAUCUCACCUUGAGAAGUUCGGAUGAACGGAAGCCGCC